rnacentral:tRNA from 1 species
GGGGCCGUAGGGUAGCCUGGUUAUCCUGCGGCGUUCGGGACGCCGUGACCCGAGUUCAAAUCUCGGCGGCCCCA